ensembl:rRNA 5S_rRNA 5S ribosomal RNA
GCCUAUGGCCACACCACCCUGAGAACACCCAAUCUCACCUGAUCUCGGAAGCUAAGCAGAGGGCUUGGUUAGUACUUGGAUGGAAGGCUGCCUUGGAAUCCCGAGUGCUGUAGGCU